UAAAAUAUACAUUUUCAAGUUCAAUAAUUAUUUCGGAGAAUCGGAUACACUUGUUAUAUAGCACACUAUAGGUCAUGGUAAAAUUCACUUUAUCUUGUUUUUUUAUCUGUCAAAUUGAAUUACAUGUCAAUAUAUUCACAAAUCUCUCUGUUCACUCGAGCAAUUGCUUGUGCUUACCCCAGGCAAUUGCAACUACAUAUAAGAAGAGACUGCCAGUGGCACCACCACCGAUUGUCCAUAAGAAUUCUGGCAUCCCAGCUUUUUUCUCGUCGAACAGUUCAAUGUUAAUGUUCAUACCGAAAAUUCCAGCCACAACAACAAAGGCGCUAACCACAAGAGUUGCCGUUGUUAACAUGACUCCCAUUUGCAACAGAUGGUUCUGCUUGUCAUCCAGCAUGAUGUUGAUGUAGUCUUCUGUGUCAUCCACAUAUUCACGUAGAGUGUUCAGUUUAUUCAAUGUACCGUCAAUUUGAACAAAGUAUGCUUCUAGGAGCAUUUCAAGCUCCUCUACAUCAAGAUGCUUGCUUAUGGCACUCCGAGUCGUGCUAGUAUGUGUCCCACGACUACCUCGGCUAAGAGCAUUAGGGCCACCAUACAAACGUUCCUGGUGUUGGUCAAUAUGUGGAGUGUCUGCAUCAUAACUUGUGGAACCUGCAUUUGCGUCCAUUGAGAUUUCCACAGGAACCCUAUCAUCCAUGUUCGACUGAAUAACUUCCUCAUCGAUGCCAUCUUGUCCGCUUAUAGAGGAAACAGAAGAAUUUUCAAGUUGUUCCAUCAGCUUGUCAGUUAAAUACAUCUCCGCCAUAUCUUCAUCAUCAUCGAGUAGAUGCUCCAGUUCAUCUCUCACCUUCUGAACACGUCCUGUAAUAGCAACCAAGCGACUUUUGAUUUGACGAACACGUUCCAAGUUGAGAGUACUAAUCUUUGAAGUCAGCUUAUCUAAAGCAGGAUGAGCUUCUUGCUCCAGUGUCCUUGCCUCAUUAUCCAAGCAACUGCAAGCAGCCUCCAGACAUGCCUCCAAAGCAACAAACUCAAAAGGGAGAAGCUUCGGCCCAUCUCGAUUCUCACCCGUUAGCUGCUUCCCAUCAGACUUGUUCUCAUCCAUUGAUUGGAAGUUUGCAGAGACGUUCGGAGGUGAAACUUCUUCAGACUGAGGCUCUUCCAGAUCAUACAGAUUUGUCCAGUCUGCAUUAUUGCCACCCCCUCCAGCUUCCU
rnacentral:misc_RNA from 1 species